GACGAACGCUGGCGGCGUGCUUAACACAUGCAAGUCGAACGGUGAGGAGGAGCUUGCUCCUCCGAUCAGUGGCGAACGGGUGAGUAACACGUGAGUAACCUGCCCAGACCCUGGGAUAACAGUUGGAAACAGCUGCUAAUACCGGAUACGAGACGGAGAGGCAUCUCUACCGUCUGGAAAAGAUUUAUCGGUCUGGGAUGGACUCGCGGCCUAUCAGCUUGUUGGUGAGGUAAAGGCUCACCCAAGGCGACGACGGGUAGCCGGCCUGAGAGGCGACCGGCCACACUGGGACUGAGACACGGCCCAGACUCCUACGGGAGGCAGCAGUGGGGAAUAUUGCACAAUGGGCGAAAGCCUGAUGCAGCGACGCCGCGUGAGGGAUGACGGCCUCGG
rnacentral:rRNA from 1 species